UGAAAAUCGGAUCAACUAUCACUCAUUUGGCAGUCACUCACUAUUUAUUCAAUUUCUCUCUCAGAGCUGUUGACCUCCCGAAUGAACGUGAGUUUAACAGAUGGAAGAGUGAUGGCGAAUGAAUAAGGCGUGAGCCGUGAGUCAACCGAUUUGUUUACAAUCCAUUCGCUCACUUUUUCAAUCAACGAAUGAGUGAUUUCGACUGACUCGCUGUUACAAUUCAAUCAUUCACUACUCGAAUAUUUUGUGUCGAAGAUUGGUUCGUGUAAUCGAAAUUGUCACGGUAGAAACAAAUUAAAAUUCUUGAAAUUAACUGUGCUGUCGAAAGUCAUUUAACUGGAUUCUUUUUUGCAUAACAAAGAACAAAGCACAUUAUGGAAUUUAAUGUUCCAAAUAAGACGAGCACCUAUGGCAGCAGAACGACCACCGAGAGCAGCGAAUUCACGGCCGAUUCCUCCAGCAGAGGCAGAAGCGAUUCUGUCUUCCAAGGGUCAAGAAUGACGGACGAAUCAAAUGGCACAAAUAAUCCGAGUGGAAACAUUUAGAUGAAAGCCACCUGUACGUGUUGCUGGGGGAACUGCCGCGGCACUUUGACCGUCUUGCACGCCCCGACGAACUACCGCACCAGCGCAAAAAUCUUGUCCGAAGUGCUUUGGGCGCUGUGUAUUAAUGAAGAUUUGUUGAUACGGUCGAUAAUUUAGUCAUUAAUAAAGUAACUUACUAAGUAAU